GACGAACGCUGGCGGCGUGCCUAAUACAUGCAAGUAGGACGCAGUUGCGAACGGGUGAGUAACGCGUAGGUAACUGCCUAUUAGAGGGGGAUAACUAUUGGAAACGAUAGCUAAUACCGCAUACUAGUAGAUGGACCUGCGUUGUAUUAGCUAGUAGGUAGGGUAAUGGCCUACCUAGGCGACGAUACAUAGCCGAGCGGGGAGGGUGAUCGGCAACGCUGUGACUGAGACACGGCCCAGAAUCCUACGGGAGGCAGCAGUAGGGACUCUGUGGGAAUGGGGGGAACCCUGACCGAGCAACUCCGCGCGAGUGAAGAAGGUAUUCGGAUCGUACAGCUCUGUUGUUAAGGAAGCGGUAAUUAACCAGAAGGGGACGGCUAACUACGUGCCAGCCGCCGCGGUAAUAC
rnacentral:rRNA from 1 species